rnacentral:lncRNA from 1 species
GUGAUCACUCAACCUUGGGUACUACAGGGACUUCAGGCCUGAAGGACAUUGGUCAUGAGUCAAGACCAUCAGCGUGAAUCUCAUCGGUGUGCGGGGAAGCAUCUAGAGAUGAAGGUCGUUCGUGCCGCCGCCUGGUGGAUUGCUACAGUUGUGGGAGGGGGGUUUGCCACCGUCUCCUCCCGGAUGUUGUGCCGCCAUUGUCACCUUAUGAUCGGACACAGUGGAUCGAGUUACAUCUAGAAGAAACAAAAUGAAUGUCAUAAUUAGUAAAGAAUUUUCAGUGACAAAAGGAUAAACAACAAUUGGAAUGUUAAAACAAAACUUGCACCUACACAAGUACUGUAUAUUUUAUAUUAGAACAAGUGCAGAUCAUGUCCCACUCUUCACUUUGUUUACGAAAAAGUCCGGAAUAGCAAUCUUGGCGAGCCAUGUAAGGAAGCAUCCCGUGAUCUCGGACGGGUUCCAUCCGCGUGGCGCGCUGCUGAUUCUGCCAUGAGUGCGUGCUGAGAGGAAGGAUCCUGAACCUCCAUUAUCAAUAGCCCGGAGCUGCAUUGGCCUUCAGAUUAGAUCGUGGUAGCUUGGUAGGGGUCAAGAAUUUGGAGGAGGUGAGGGAGUAGGGUGGGGAUCACAAGAACUCACCCAUAUCUUGGGUGAUGGCAGACCAGGUGGCGUCGUGUUGGUGCUUCGCGGGCUGCCUCUUAGCUCCGACAGUUGCCAUAUGAAAAAUAAGCUUAGUAGUGUUUUAUGAUCAUGAAAUGAAAAGGCAUUCUUCGUUCUUUGUUUAGUCUUGGCCCUGCUCCUCAGACAUCCUCCUAUUUUAUCUCGCCCCCUUCAUUGUUGUGUGCUAUCACAAGCCUCCUACAGAAAAGAGAUAUGUAGAGAGACAAAUCUAUGUUAACAUAAUCACACAAAUUAUAUUCUUCUGUCCCUGCCAUUUUCUUUAUUGAGCCCCCCUCAGCUUCCGACUCCGUUCCAUUCCGUUUAUAUGGCAGCUACCACCACCAUAGCUUCGAGAAAUCACAUAUAUUAUUCUACUCUACUCACGAAUGAACACGAGGAAUAUUUGUUAGUGCUGUAACAAUAGCUUCACAAUCUUCUCUUGCCAUCUUAAAUGACCAAGCCAAUUACAUGCCAACAUGAGAAGAUAAAUAAAAUGGAAAUAUGCAAGCUCACUACACAUUGCACAAACUCGCAUGACAGAUUAAGCAAGCAAAUGUCUAACCAUACCUGCGGAAAAAGGCAGGAAACAACACAUUGUAGGUAAAAAUUAGUAAUAAACAGAGGAAAUUAGUAACAAGCAAAUAAAUCUGAGAGGAAACCUCUGAACUAAUGAUCUAUAGUGUUCAAUGGCAACAAAAAUGACACCGUCAUGUUCAAGAAAAUCCAUCCACGUCAAUCCUGAAAAUCGUCGUUCCUUCAAUCGGGGCCAAGAAUGUGAUCCUGGGCUUGCCUCCCUAUCGUCAGAGCAAACAAAAAUCAACCUUAUUCUAUAUCCAGUCAUGGUAUAGAAAGGCACCGCCGCUGCUCCAUGACUCAAAAAAUAACAUUAGGUGUGAAGCAUUGCAGUUUAAAUAGGAUGCAUGAUGUGAUCCAUUAAGCACCAAAGCAAAUACUUCUAGAUCAUUUACAUUCAUUAUUUGAUGCUAAGUAGAAGGUCAUUUGUUGAGGUAAACUGGUUAAUAAAUUAAAU